AGGAGGGCUAGCGCCGCGGAGCAGGAAGCGAGCAGCCGGCGGAGGCGCGGCGGCGCCGGGCCGGCCUUGUUUUCCUCAGGCUCGCUCCGCUCUGAGCCGCAGCCUCGCUUGCCUCAGGCUCGCUCUCGGCCGCGGCCUUCUUUCCUUCAGGCUCGGUCGCGGCCUUGCUUGUCCCAGGCUUGCUCCCCGGCCGCCUCCGUCCUCUCUUCAAGCUCGCUCUGCGGCCGUUCCCACCUCCUUCCAGGCUCGCUCCCCGCCACCGCAUUCCUCCUCCUCCUCCCAGGCUCGCUCCCGGGCCGCCGCCCCUCAGCCGCCCAGGCUGCGCCGGUGCUCGCGUGGGGCCUUGUUGCGUUUCAGCUCGGGGUCGCCGCAGGGGCGGGGCGCUGAGCGGUCUGCCGCGGCCUCCCCGGGUCGUCUGCCCGCCUUCCUCCGCAGUCCGGAGCCUGGCGGAGCCCAGACCUGGCGGGGACAGCUGCGCACCCGGCCCGGCACCCAGAGCCUGCCGCCACCACCGCCACCGUCCAUCGUUGGUACCGGCAAUGGCCUUCGUCUCGCCUGAUGUGCUUGUGACUGAUUUGGAUCCGGAAUAUUGAGAACUCACUUCUGUCCCCAUCCCAGCCGUGGCCGCCCACUGGACUCAACUGCAGCGUCGCUAGACUGCCCCAUUUUGAGAGCACCAUGGACCAAAGUGGGAUGGAGAUUCCUGUGACUCUCAUCAUUAAAGCACCGAAUCAGAAAUACAGUGACCAGACUAUUAGCUGCUUCUUGAACUGGACCGUGGGGAAACUAAAAACGCAUCUAUCUAACGUGUACCCUAGCAAACCAGUAAGUGUAAAACUGGACGCAGCUGCUCUGACCUGCUUGUUGCCCCGUGAACCUGGUACUUCCCUUCUCCCAACCUGCCCCUUCCUCGGCAAUCAAAUAGCUCUUCAUUCGAAAUACUUUUGGUUCUGAGGUUGCAGGUGUCUCCUGAGUGAUCCAUCAUUAUCCUCCUAAUGAGGUUCAGUUAAUUAGUGAGUAUACAGAAAUACCAAGAGACAAGAAUUUGCAGUUACGGCAAAGGGACCGUCUUCCAUGGAACUUAAAGUCAUCAAAUGUGAAUGUCAGAUGCUAUUUUUGUUUUUCAGAUAAAGAAUCACUGUCCAUAUUAGAACCCUUGUUGUUUUCUAGGCUCAGAAAUUUGUUCCUGGUGAAGAGAAUUUUUUUUUUCCUCUUGGAAUAAGUAUGUGACUUAGCGAAAAUUAUACUUUAACCAUCACUUCAUUGCCUGGUUCUAAGUUGCAAAUUCACUUUGUUUCCCACCUCACUUCUCCUGAAGAGGAUACACACAUUGAGACAGAUGCAGCCCUUCCACAUAACCCAGUCAUUGAUGCCUGUUUUGUUUUCUGUUGUAUCAUCUGUUUGUCUCAACUCAAGUGUGGCUUUGUUUCCAGUUCUUAACUAUAUCUUGGUAUUGGAAAGAUAAACAGAAUGGAGUCAUUUGUCCCUUACUUCAGAUUUGAAGGGAUGUAGUUAGUAAGUCUUGGAAUAGUUUGGAGAAGUAUUUCAUAUAGAGGAUAUUAAAGUGACUUUCAUGUUCUGUAUUGUAUACCUUUUUCAUUCUUGACUAGUAUUCAGCUAGUAAAUCUUUUAAAAUAAUAAAGAGCCUUUUAUUUUAUGGUGGGAAAUAUUUUGGCAUAUUUACCACCAGCUGGUUGGUGGUGUGCCAGCUGCUUUUUAGGCCUGUUCUGUGCUCUGAAGUAUGGAAGAUGCUUGAUUAGGAACUGUUAAGAUGUUUAUGAGUUAGAACCUUGUCUGUUGCAGUAUUGUUUAAGAUUUAAGCUUCCAGAAUAACCACUGGAUUGCUUUAUUGCAAAAGCUGGAGGAUGUUUUUUUAAAACUCAUUUGGCAUUAGCUGAGUUUGGGACACAAGUAUUUUUAGUAUAUGGGGGG
rnacentral:lncRNA from 1 species